UGUACGCGGAAAACAGCCCGUAAGAAAUUGCAAGACGCUAGCUUCUUUCAAUCACACACCAUUAUCUGAAAAUGAAUGGCGAUCAUUUGUAAUUACGUGGAACCCUACGACGCGCAGAAUAAUUGUUUAUGAUACUGAUAAGCUGAUUAUGGAAUAUACAGACGAGGAAAGGCAUUUACGUUCAAGCAAUGAUUAUUAUAUGUUCAUUAGAAGUGAUGCAGCGAUGUUGUUUCGAUUUCAUAUAUAUGACUUUCUGCAUACGACUAUCGAGAAUGCAGUUUUAACAAGUCCCAUCUUCCAACUUAAUAAUAAAAUGA